GCCUCUGUAGCUCAGUGGUAGAGCAACCGCCUUGUAAGCGGUAGGUCAUGAGUUCAAAUCUCAUCAGAGGCU
rnacentral:tRNA from 4 species